rnacentral:rRNA from 4 species
CCUUGACCUCAAAUCGGGUGAGACUACCCGCUGAACUUAAGCA